rnacentral:misc_RNA from 1 species
UACGUAGGUGGCAAGCGUUAUUCGGAAUCACUGGGCAUAAAGCGCGUGUAGGCGGCCGCUCAAGUCGGGUGUGAAAUCCCACGGCUCAACCGUGGAACUGCGCCCGAUACUGUGUGGCUCGAGGCUGGUAGGGGAGAGUGGAAUUCCUGGUGGAGCGGUGAAAUGCGUUGAUAUCAGGAGGAACGCCGGCGGCGAAAGCGGCUCUCUGGUCCAGUUCUGACGCUGAGACGCGAAAGCCAGGGGAGCAAACGGG